UACAUUUUUUUACUGAAACUGCUAAGUUUGAUGCUUGUUUUGUCACAUCAUAAAUUUUAAGGAGUGCUUUUGAAAUGAAACUUUUUGAGAAAACCAGCGGCCGAUCCUUGGGGUUCCUGAGGGUCACGUGACGCCACUUUGAGAUCUCAACUAUCAUCGUGUUAAGCAAGCAAUUUUCUGCAUCAUGUCCGACCCCGUCCAUUGAUUUGUGCCACUGUGCGCCGGCUGUAUCCACUUGUUCGUUCGUUCUGCUGUCUCGAAGACAUCAUGCUCCUAAACGUCUGACUCUGACUAUCGAUAACGUGUGUUCAGCAUAGAGGAAAGUGUUUAGUUUGUUUAAGGUGAUUAUAAGAUCCGUUCAAGAUGUACCAUGUUGCCAAAUUUUCCGAGCAUGGGAAAAUCCUGGUGGAAAUAAUCAGUGCGAAUUGGAAGAUCAACGGUAAAAAUAUUUAUUGGCCAAAAAUGCUUCAAAAAAGAAAUUUGAAAAGUAUCUAAAAGACCAGCGGGAGCCAGAUUCGUCAUGGAUGCAGAUCAGUUGUACUCUUCUCAAAGAAAAUUUAGAGUUUGAAGAAGCGGAGGAGUAUAUAAAUACCUACUUAGGCCAAGCGAUGACAGAAAGUGACAGCGGUGACAGCGACAUAGAAAGAGGCAGAAGCCUCCUCAGUACCAAAAGGAAACGCAAUGAAAGCAUAUCUACUAGUCAUGGAGAGUCGGACAAAGCAUACAAUGAGGAUUUUGUCUUCGCAAUUCCCAGGCCACCAGCACAGAAUGAGGACGUAUCUUCACUGAUGAGAAACAUCUCUCAAAAAGUGGAGGCGAUAGAACAAAAACAAGAUGCCAUUAGCACCAAACAGGACAUUUUGGAACAAGGUAUAGAUAAAGUCUUGAAACUCAUCACCGAAAAAGGAAUCAAUAACGUAGAUGAUUUACUUCAAGAUCCUUUCCCGUACUUUCCCUGCGAUGGACCUGCCAAUUUACGUCAAUUGGAAGAUACUCUGAAAAACGAUGAAGGAAAAUUACAACUGAUUCAUUUCUUUAAAACUUUCGGCGGGAAGAAAAUCGAGGACUUCUUGUCCCGAGUCUUGAGUGCCACAUUUACCAACAGAUUUGCCAAGUCAUUCAACUGGACAGGUGAAAUAAUAAGAACAAAUUCGAAACGCUCACCUUCUUGACAGUGCUUAAUAGUAAGUAUCCAUUUACUUUUUCUCCAAUUAUUUUUUAUGAUGCUAGAU
rnacentral:lncRNA from 1 species